rnacentral:rRNA from 1 species
UACGAAGGGGGCUAGCGUUGUUCGGAAUUACUGGGCGUAAAGGGCGCGUAGGCGGUGUGUCAAGUCAGGCGUGAAAGCCCCGGGCUCAACCUGGGAACCGCGCUUGAGACUGGCACGCUCGAGUUCGGGAGAGGAUGGUGGAAUUCCCAGUGUAGAGGUGAAAUUCGUAGAGAUGUGGAGGAACACCAAUGGCGAAGGCAGCCUCCUGGGCCAAUACUGACACUCAUGCACGAAAGCGUGGGGAGCAAACAGG